AGAAUGAACGCUGGCGGCGUGCUUAACACAUGCAAGUCGAGCGAGGCCAGGGGGGGCAACUCCCUGAGUCGAGCGGCGGACGGGUGAGUAACACGUGGGUAACCUACCCGGAAGUGGGGAAUACCUCGGGGGAAACUCGAGCUAAUACCGCAUGAAAUCUCGAGGGCGAAAGUCCUUUUGAUCAAAGCGGGGCCGCAAGGCCUCGUGCUACCGGAUGGGCCCGCGCCCGAUUAGCUAGUUGGCGAGGUAAUGGCUCACCAAGGCGACGAUCGGGUAACCGGCCUGAGACGGGCGAGUCGUACGACGACCGGAACUUAGAGACACGGUCCGGACUCCUACGGGAGGCCAGCAGUGGGGAAUCUUGCGCAAUGGGCGAAAGCCUGACGCAGCAACGCCGCGUGAGGAUGAACGGCCCUUGGGUUGUAAACGUCCGUGUCGGCGUUGGGAAGAACUUCGGUUCG
rnacentral:rRNA from 1 species